rnacentral:rRNA from 1 species
UACGAAGGGGGCUAGCGUUGCUCGGAAUUACUGGGCGUAAAGGGCGCGUAGGCGGGUGUUUAAGUCAGAGGUUAAAUCCCAGAGCUCAACUCUGGAACUGCCUUUGAUACUGGACACCUAGAGUACGGGAGAGGUGUGUGGAACUCCGAGUGUAGAGGUGAAAUUCGUAGAUAUCCUAAGGAACACCGGUGGCGAAAGCGGCUCACUGGGUCUCUUCUGACGCUGAGGCACGAAAGCUAGGGUAGCGAACGGG